UACGUAGGGGGCUAGCGUUGUCCGGAAUCAUUGGGCGUAAAGCGCGUGUAGGCGGUUCGGUAAGUCCGCUGUGAAAGUCGGGGGCUCAACCCUCGGAUGCCGGUGGAUACUGUCGGGCUUGAGUACGGAAGAGGCGAGUGGAAUUCCUGGUGUAGCGGUGAAAUGCGCAGAUAUCAGGAGGAACACCGGUGGCGAAGGCGGGUCUCUGGGCCGUAACUGACGCUGAGGAGCGAAAGCGUGGGGAGCGAACAGG
rnacentral:rRNA from 1 species